rnacentral:rRNA from 8 species
CCUGACCUCGGUUCAGACGUGAUUACCCGCU